GGAUUAGAUACCCGGGUAGUCUUGGCCAUAAACGAUGUUCACUAGGUGUUGGGGGGUUACCCUCGGUGCCGCAGCUAACGCAUUAAGUGAACCGCCUGGGGACUACGGCCGCAAGGUUGAAACUCAAAGGAAUUGGCGGGGGCCCGCACAAGCGGUGGAGCAUGUGGCUUAAUUCGAUGCAACGCGAAGAACCUUACCAGGGCUUGACAUGUAUCUGCAAGCUCCCGAAACGGAGUCGCCUUCGAGGGAGAUACACAGGUGGUGCAUGGCUGUCGUCAGCUCGUGUUGUGAAAUGUUGGGUUAAGUCCCGCAACGAGCGCAACCCUCACGUUCUGUUACCAGCGAGUAAUGUCGGGGACUCGGAACGAACUGCCUCUGUAAAGAGGAGGAAGGU
rnacentral:rRNA from 1 species